AAGGAUUUAAGUUAUGUAAACUAUUAAUUUUCAAAGUUAACAAAAAAUUUUAUUAAGCCUUU
rnacentral:tRNA from 1 species